rnacentral:misc_RNA from 1 species
UGAGUAAGACAGUAUGCAAAAAGUAUGCAGAUUGUGUCUUCAAUCGGAACAAUGCGAGGUGAUACCUUUAUUUUGUGACGAUGUCAACGAGGAUAACGAAUGCCAACGACUGAGGUUACAGAUCAAGGAUUUGUGUUCUAUCAUCAUAUUGCAAGAUGAUGACUUACCCAAGUUCAUAUGCUGUAAAUGCAAUAUCAGAUUACGAGACGCUCAUGAGUUUGUAAAUCUUUGUAAAAACUCCAACAAUAAGCUGCAUGAAUAUUACGAAAAGAAUGACCAGGUCAAGGAAAUCAUAUCACUGAAAGAAAAAGGACAAAAGCCGAAAGAAAGAAAAUGUAAAUACGCCAGCAGAUUCUUAAGAUGUACAAAGAAAUCUUUAAGGACGUAUUCAGAAAUUGCUAUAAGUUCAGAAACAUACACUACUACAUUAUCUCAAAAUAUACUUAACGUAGAGACAGCAAACUCAGAACCUGAUGAUAAUGAUGGAAGCGAUCUUGGUUUUAAGAUCCGAGAAACGUCCUUAAACGAACGUGUUACACUUGAUACAAAUGUUUGCUGCGAUGAACUGUCAAGUGACAAUAAAAAGCAGUAUCUCUGCGAUGUUUGCAGUAAAACCUUCGCCUCGAUGUCCGGAUUACGAUUGCAUCUUAAAUCGCAUUACGGUAUUAAACCGCACACUUGUCAAUUCUGUGGCAAGAGCUUCGCUAUUCCGAGUUACAAGAAGAGGCACGAGAAGAUUCAUACAGGCGAUAAGCACUUUGUCUGCCACAUCUGUAGCACUGCCUUCGCAUCAUCGAACGGGCUGAAGUAUCAUUUAAGGACUCACACGGGUGAAGCGAAUUAUCAUUGCGAUAUUUGCGGCAAGUCCUUCGUCCGAUACAAAUAUCUGAAAGACCAUACCUUUACGCAUACCGGAGAAAAGCCGUACAUUUGCAAACUGUGCGGUUCCGCUUAUCGCAACUCUGGCAGCCUGUUUGCGCACGAAAAGAAAUGCAAAUCACGACAUGCACUCGAUUCUCAAAGUCGUAGUUGCAAUAAUGAUUUGACAUAAGUGAUACAUUAAAAUAUACCUGAUUAAUAAUUUAAUAUUCUCUAUAUAUUAAUAUGGUUGAUAUAAUCUAGAAUAAUGAUUGAUAUAAUCCAGAAUGAUAGCUGAUUCAAAAUUAUAUAUUUUUUCGUUUUAUGUACAAAUGUUUUUUAUGUGUAACUCGAAAAAAUAUUUUCUCUUGCGUAAUGAGUUAUUUCUUCAAAUAUACAUAUAUUCAGUGCGUAAUACAUCUGUGCGCAAAUAUAAAGUCCGAAUUUUGCAUAUGGAAAAAGGGAUACAACAGCUUGUUAGACUUAAAAGGUUCCAUCUCUAACAGCUGACGUUCCUCUUUAAUACCGACAAAGCUAAACAGGAUCAACAAUUCUGUUUUCGUUGCACCGACAUUUCAGAAGAUGCGACCGCCAUCCACUCAUUAGUGGUCGAUUGGAACCACGUUAGACCCAAAGAAUAUCUACCAUUGAGAUUGGCGUGUUGGCAAUGACUGAACCACCAUCCACCUCGAUAGUUGGCCGCGCAGUCGGUGGUACUGAUAUCC